rnacentral:rRNA from 1 species
AUUGAACGCUGGCGGCAGGCCUAACACAUGCAAGUCGAACGAGUGGCGGACGGGUGAGUACUGUCUGGGAAACUGCCUGCUGGAGGGGGAUAACUACUGGAAACGGUAGCUCAUACCGCAUACCAUCGGAUGUGCCCAGAUGGGAUUAGCUAGUAGGUGGGGUAAAGGCUCACCUAGGCGACGAUCCCUAGCUGGUCUGCGAGGAUGACCAGACACAAUGGAAAUGAGACACGGUCAAGACUCGUAGGGGAGGCAGCAGUGGGGAAGAUUGCACAAUGGGCGCAAGCCUGAUGCAGCCAGGCCGCGUGUAUGAAGAAGGCCUUCGGGUUGUAAAGUACUGACAGCGGGGAGGCGUUACCCGCAGAAGAAGCACCGGCUAAUACCGUGCCAGCAGCCGCGGUAAUAC